UACGAAGGGUGCAAGCGUUACUCGGAAUUACUGGGCGUAAAGCGUGCGUAGGUGGUUCGUUAAGUCUGUCGUGAAAGCCCCGGGCUCAACCUGGGAAUGGCGAUGGAUACUGGCGGGCUAGAGUGCGGUAGAGGAGAGUGGAAUUCCCGGUGUAGCAGUGAAAUGCGUAGAGAUCGGGAGGAACAUCAGUUGCGAAGGCGGCUCUCUGGACCAGCACUGACACUGAGGCGCGAAAGCUAGGGGAGCAAACAGG
rnacentral:rRNA from 1 species